rnacentral:rRNA from 1 species
UAAUAAGCUAUUAAGGGCUAAUGGUGGAUGCCUAGACUGUAAGAGGCGAUGAAAGACGUAUUAGGCUGCGAUAAGCCUCGGGGAGCUGCCAAAGAGCUUUGAUCCGGGGAUUUCUGAAUGGGGCAACCCAGCAUAGUGAGAGCUAUGUUACCCUACGGGGAGCUAACCUGGUGAAGUGAAACAUCUCAGUAGCCAGAGGAAGAGAAAUCAAACGAGAUUCCGUCAGUAGCGGCGAGCGAAAGCGGAUUAGGACAAACCCAAUGCUUGCAUUGGGGGUUGUAGGACCAUGAUAUGAGACUAAAGAAGAUAGAUGAAAUACUUGGAAAAGUGUAGCAUAGAAGGUGAAACUCCUGUAAUUUAAAUUUUCAAUAGCUCUAAUGGUAUCCUGAGUAGGUCGGAACACGUGAUAUUUUGACUGAAACUGGGGGGACCACCCUCCAAUCCUAAAUACUACUUACAGAUCGAUAGUGAACAAGUACCGUGAGGGAAAGGUGAAAAGUACUCCAGCGAGGAGAGUGAAAUAGAACCUGAAACCAUUAGCUUACAAUCAUUCAGAGCCCUAUGAUUUAUCAGGGUGAUGGACUGCCUUUUGCAUAAUGAGCCUGCGAGUUGUGGUGUCUGGCAAGGUUAAGUCAAGUACGAAGCCGUAGCGAAAGCGAGUCUUAAUAGGGCGAAUUAGUCAGAUGCUGCAGACCCGAAACGAAGUGAUCUAUCCAUGAGCAGGUUGAAGCUGGUGUAAGAGCCAGUGGAGGACCGAACCCAUAGGCGUUGAAAAGUCUCGGGAUGACUUGUGGAUAGGGGUGAAAGGCCAAUCAAACUUCGUGAUAGCUGGUUCUCUCCGAAAUAUAUUUAGGUAUAGCCUUGUGUUGUAGCAUAUAGGGGUAGAGCACUGAAUGGGCUAGGGCUGCUUACCGCGGUACCAAACCCUAUCAAACUAUGAAUACUAUAUGUGGAAUCACAGGAGUCAGGCGAUGGGUGAUAAAAUCCACCGUCGAGAGGGGAACAACCCAGACUAACAGCUAAGGUCCCUAAGUCACAUCUAAGUGGAAAACGAUGUGGAGUUACUGUGACAACCAGGAGGUUGGCUUAGAAGCAGCCAUCCUUUAAAGAAAGCGUAACAGCUCACUGGUCUAG